ensembl:snRNA U6atac minor spliceosomal RNA
GUGUUGUGUGAAAGUUGGCACUCUCCUUGAUAAAGGAUGGAAGAGGUCCGACCUAAUGGCCUAUAAACACAGAUACAAUUAAGGCAUUGCCUCUUACUUCAUGGCAUCAAAUCAAGGGUUUUU